rnacentral:rRNA from 1 species
AACGAACGCUGGCGGCAUGCCUAACACAUGCAAGUCGAACGAGACCUUCGGGUCUAGUGGCGCACGGGUGCGUAACGCGUGGGAACCUGCCUUUAGGUUCGGAAUAACAGUGAGAAAUUACUGCUAAUACCGGAUGAUGUCUUCGGACCAAAGAUUUAUCGCCUUUAGAUGGGCCCGCGUUAGAUUAGCUAGUUGGUGGGGUAAAGGCCUACCAAGGCGACGAUCCAUAGCUGGUCUGAGAGGAUGAUCAGCCACACUGGGACUGAGACACGGCCCAGACUCCUACGGGAGGCAGCAGUGGGGAAUAUUGGACAAUGGGCGAAAGCCUGAUCCAGCAAUGCCGCGUGAGUGAUGAAGGCCUUAGGGUUGUAAAGCUCUUUUACCCGAGAUGAUAAUGACAGUAUCGGGAGAAUAAGCUCCGGCUAACUCCGUG